rnacentral:tmRNA from 1 species
GGGGCUGCACUGGUUUCGACACGGGUUCGGACGCGUAGCAGGGCAUGUCGAGCUGAAUGCGCUCGUAAAACAGAUUCAAACAAACUAACUGCAAACGACGAACGUUUCGCACUCGCUGCUUAAUUGCACGUGAGGCUCACAACAGCAAGCCGAUAGGCUGGGCAAGGGUGGCGCAAGCCGUCCAGGCUGUGGGCUAAUUUCAUUCGGCUGGAUCUGCUUUGGGUAACUUAGGGCAGGUCGAGAUAAUAGGUUGCUGGCGUCUUGCAUAGCGUGCCACUGCGCGAUGUAGGAAGCGAGACUUAAACCAGAUGGCUACACAUGUAGAACUGUUCGAAGAAGGCUUGUGGACGCGGGUUCAAAUCCCGCCAGCUCCACCA